ACUCAAAUGAAUUGACGGGGACCCGCACAAGCAGCGGAGCAUGUGGUUUAAUUCGAAGCAACGCGAAGAACCUUACCAGGGCUUGACAUGCCCCUGACCGUUCUAGAGAUAGGACUUUACCUUCGGGUACAGGGGACACAGGUGGUGCAUGGUUGUCGUCAGCUCGUGUCGUGAGAUGUUGGGUUAAGUCCCGCAACGAGCGCAACCCUUGCCUUUAGUUGCUAACAGUUAGGCUGAGCACUCUAGAGGGACUGCCGAUGAUAAAUCGGAGGAAGGUGGGGAUGACGUCAAAUCAUCAUGCCCUUUAUGUCCUGGGCUACACACGUGCUACAAUGGUCGGUACAACGAGUAGCAACUUAGCGAUAAGAAGCCAAUCUCAUAAAGCCGAUCCCAGUUCGGAUUGCAGGCUGCAACUCGCCUGCAUGAAGUCGGAGUUGCUAGUAAUCGCGAAUCAGAAUGUCGCGGUGAAUGCGUUCCCGGGUCUUGUACACACCGCCCGU
rnacentral:rRNA from 1 species